GACGUAGGGCGCGAGCGUUGUCCGGAUUUAUUGGGCGUAAAGAGCUCGGUAGGCGCUGUCGCGUCGACUGUGAAAUCCCGCGGCUCAACUGCGGGUCUGCAGUCGAUACGGGCAGGCUAGAGUUCGGUAGGGGAGACUGGAAUUCCUGGUGUAGCGGUGAAAUGCGCAGAUAUCAGGAGGAACACCGGUGGCGAAGGCGGGUCUCUGGGCCGAUACUGACGCUGAGGAGCGAAAGCGUGGGGAGCGAACAGG
rnacentral:rRNA from 1 species